CUUCAAGGUCACCCAAGUUGAGGUUCACGUCGAAGGUAGCAACGUCAACGAAAGCGAAUCUUAAACGAACCUAACCUACACGGAUAAAAACAUUGGACAAUAUGUAAACAUUGCUGGGAUCUUGUCCCCUGGACCUUGGAGGACUUUUGGUGUAGAUGUUGUUCAGGACCUACCAAAGCAAGGUUUCUCAAACAACUGUGGGGUGUUUUGUUUUGAUGGAAAACAUGCAGCAAAUUAGGCGAUGGUGGUGCCUAGUUCUCCUGCAGAACUUUCCCAUGCCGUCUGAAGAUGAGAGGUUGAAAGAUCGAAAAAGACGGCGAAAACAAAACACACUACAGAAUGAUGUAAAAGACUUCCCCCCAUGAAGUCACAGCAUGUCACAUCAGCAUCCAGCUCUGCAUGAUCAGGCGAUACUGAAAACAAAAUGCACGGCGAACUGGGAGCUGUGAACUGGGAAGCAGAUGUUCUUCUAAGCGACACCCUAGAGGCAGCAAGGUGAUGUGAACUCCAAACAUUUAAAGGCACUGUUCCCCURCCUAGUAUAAUUGGGAUGGAAGGGGAAGACCGCAUUACAACCCUUAAAGAACUACAGUUGUAUGAUGGCCUGGAUGAAGAUGAAAAUGUUCUCCUCAAGGAACCAUUCAUGUUACAGAGAGAUUAUGAGAUGUUCUAUGUGGAGGCAGUUGACAACAAGAAAAUUACUGUCUUUGCCUCUUUUGAYGAGCAGGAGUUAAGUGGUUAAAUCUUGUUUUGUCUGCUGUGUUAAUUGUUUCAAUUGUUAAUUGUGUUAUGUUUAGUAAAGAUGACGUAGAAGUCA